AGAGGAAGUAAAAGUCGUAACAAGGUUUCCGUAGGUGAACUGCGGAAGGAUCAUUAAUGAUUACGAAUGGUUACCUUCGGUGCUGGCUCUUGCAAGUGCACGUUGGUGGCUUUCAUCCAAUACCCUUUGUGAACCUUUGGCCUCUUGCUAGCUUCGGCUGGCAGAGGAUUUUUACACACUCGAAUGUAAUGAAAACUAUUGUCGUGCGCAAGCACUAAUGUACAACUUUCAACAACGGAUCUCUUGGCUCUCGCAUCGAUGAAGAACGCAGCGAAAUGCGAUAAGUAAUGUGAAUUGCAGAAUUCAGUGAAUCAUCGAAUCUUUGAACGCACCUUGCACCCUUUGGCAUUCCGAAGGGUAUGCUCGUUUGAGUGUCAUUGUACUCUCACACUCUCUGAUCCUUUGGAUUCGGGGAGCGGUGGACUUGGGUGUUGCUGCUUUCCUAGUGGCUCACCUCAAAUGUGUCAGUGCACCUCCUGGUUGGACAUAGUACGGCGUGAUAAGUGUCUUCGCCGGCGCCUCGCAAGAGGGUGGCCGAUCGGGAGCUCUGUGCUUUCAAACCGUCUUCGGACAAUCUCUGACAACUUGACCUCAAAUCGAGUAGGACUACCCGCUGAACUUAAGCAUAUCAAUAAGCGGAGGAAAAGAAACUAACAAGGAUUCCCCUAGUAACGGCGAGUGAAGAGGGAAGAGCUCAAAUUUUGAAUCUGGCGUCUUUGGCGUCCGAAUUGUAAUCUAGAGAAGUGUUUUCCGUGACGGACCGUGCACAAGUCUCCUGGAAUGGAGCGUCAUAGAGGGUGAGAAUCCCGUAUAUGGCACGGACUACCGUUGCUCUGUGAUACACUCUCGACGAGUCGAGUUGUUUGGGAAUGCAGCUCUAAAUGGGUGGUAAAUGCCAUCUAAAGCUAAAUAUUGGCGAGAGACCGAUAGCGAACAAGUACCGUGAGGUAA
rnacentral:rRNA from 1 species